rnacentral:rRNA from 1 species
UACGGAGGGGGGCUAGCGUUGUUCGGAAUUACUGGGCGUAAAGCGCACGUAGGCGGCUUUGCAAGUCAGAGGUGAAAGCCCGGGGCUCAACCCCCGGAAUUGCCUUUGAGACUGCAUCGCUAGAAUUGUGGAGAGGUAAGUGGAAUUCCGAGUGUAGAGGUGAAAUUCGUAGAUAUUCGGAAGAACACCAGUGGCGAAGGCGACUUACUGGACACAUAUUGACGCUGAGGUGCGAAAGCGUGGGGGAGCAAACA